GGCGUUGAGGAGGCGGAUGCGGGAGUAAGAUGUAGGGGGAAAGGGUGGUUGGGGGUGACUGGGCGUACAUGGUGGGUAGGUGGUUUGGUGUGCCUUCGGUUAGAGGUUCGGGCCCAACACGGGAAGAGUGGGGGGUACGGCCAGGCUAGAGGGUGGGAGAGGAGCGCGGAGUUCCCGGUGUAGCGGUGAAAUGCGUAGAGAUCGGGAGGAAGGCCGGUGGCGAAGGCGGCGCUCUGGAACAUACCUGACGCUGAGACACGAAAGCGUGGGGAGCAAACAGGAUUAGAUACCCCAGUAGUC
rnacentral:rRNA from 1 species